ensembl:lncRNA
AGUUCUCCUGAACCAAUUCCAAGAGGUGGACGAGAAGGCUGGAGUAUGACUGAUGACAACCAGCAUCAAUUAGGAAAAGGAAAACUAAUGGUUGCUGCUAGAUGCCAUGUGUCACCAGUCAGAUUGGCAAAAUUGAAAAGGAUGAUAAGAUCCUGUUUUGGUCAAUGAGUGAGAACAUAUAAGAGCUUAUAUGGUCUUGAAUGUGGAUUCAUGUAGCCAUUGUUGUCAUGGACAGUUGGCAGUCUGCAUGUGCAAGGUUUAUGUAUUUUGACCAAUAAAAUUGACUUCAUGGCCCCGUGUUCAGAGAAAGACUCUCGCUUGAGUAUAAGACACCUGCAUACACUUGUAGCAGUCUCACCUCAAAGGCACUGAUUUCUGAGAAGGACCGACUCUAGGAGGUGACACUGCUGGAACUUAGGGACUGAAGUCUUCACGGAAAACAACUGGGAUCAAACCCAGGACAGCUCAGGGUUGGAGAGCAGAGCCUCACCCUGCAUGGCCCUUGUUCUUUUCUUUCUGCCUCUGCUUUGCUGCUGAAAGACUGAAACCCAACAGCAAGUUGAGAAGGUAGACAUGGAUGCCCUGGAAGUACUUCUUCACGGCCAGUGUGGGGCCCAUCCUUCCCAGGGCAGAGUCUUCCUCUCCUGUCACCGGGCCCAGGCAGGCGUCCAGGUCAUCCAGCUGCUGAUGGAGUCCAGUGCGGAGCUGUUCCAGGAGGGUGGUGUCCCAGGCAGCAGAGGAGCGCUCUGUGUGGAAGAGGUUGAAGCUCUGCUGGAGCAUCUCAUGGAGCACAGAGAUGGCCUGGGCCUCCUGGAGCUGGCCACCCUCCACCAUCUCCUGGGGGGUGCAAUGACAGCAGAAAUGAGAGUCUUCCACAUGGCAGUGCAGGAGGAAGUGUGGUCUGUUGGUCCAUGAGAAUCAUUUCCGUGUUGAACCAGGUGUGUGUCAGUCCUUUCUCCUGAAUUUCUCCUGCAAGUUUGUUGAAGAAGAGAAGGCUCUCAUGACUUCUGCUCUGACAACCUCCCAGGCACAAGGGCUGUGUCUCUUCUCUUGCAGAUAGAGAGUGAGUCUGUGGAAGUAUUUCCUCACAGCCAGGCUGGCAUCCUCCUUGAGCAGGGGAGCCCCUCGCAGCCCCUCCUCCUGCCUCAGACAGGCUUGCAGGUCAGUGAGCUGCUGAUCCAGUGCAGCUCGGAGCUUGUCCAGGAGGCUCUGGUCCCACACAGCGGCCGAGCCCUCUGUGCUGAAGAGCUGGAAGGUGUGCUGGGUCACCUCGUGGAGCACAGAGAUGGCUUGAGCCUUCUGCAACUGGCUGCCACCCAGCGCCUCCUGGGGGAAUGCAAAGUCAUUUCUGUCCUGCAGGCAGGAGGAAGGGGAGACCCUCCUCAGUUGUCGCAGGAGUGUCAGGACCCUCCUGUUGGGCAGGCUGUGGGUGUGAGGCAGGUGGCAACCCAAAGAGCAGAUGGCGUUGCAGCUGAGCAGCAGCAGGGCCAGGAGGAAGGACCAGGCUGGGGCCAUCGGGGACCUUGCAGAUGCUUCUGCCCUGGGGCAGUGGGUGACUCUGUGAACCUGCUCUCUAGAUUCUCUGAAGACCUUCCUUCAGGCCUGUGUCUUAAAUAGGAGCUCAUGGUUUCCACUUUGUGAAAGUUCCCUCUUAUUUUCUACUUUUGUUUUUGCUUUUCAGUUUGCACUCUCCAGUGGGUUAGGGCAGCACUACCCAAUCAUUUUUUUUUUCAUGUUGCUCUUCUUUCUUCUGCCCACAGAGCCUUUUAGAUAUUUUUUCUUAAUUGCCCUGCACUGUGAAAUUUUGAUAACACAGAUAUACUGUGUAUGUAUUUAUGUACUCUGUGAGUAUCUUUUCUCUGUACAUAGAAAAAGGAGGUGUAAAUCUUACUCUUUGUAUUCAGUGUAGUUUAGAAUUACAUAAAAAUUUAAGCCAUAAUUUAAAUUUAAAAGCUACUGAAUUUUAUUUUUUCUUUAUAAACUCAGUUUUCAGAGUGAUUUUUAAUGUCAUAUGUUUACUUUUAUAAGUAGGUAUGUAUCCAAUUACAUAUUGAAAUAAAAUUUACAUAAAUACUUUUAAUAAUACCA